UGGGGAAUAUUGCGCAAUGGGGGGAACCCUGACGCAGCCAUGCCGCGUGAAUGAAGAAGGCCUUCGGGUUGUAAAGUUCUUUCGGUAUUGAGGAAGGUUGAUGUGUUAAUAGCACAUCAAAUUGACGUUAAAUACAGAAGAAGCACCGGCUAACUCCGUGCCAGCAGCCGCGGUAAUACGGAGGGUGCGAGCGUUAAUCGGAAUAACUGGGCGUAAAGGGCACGCAGGCGGUUAUUUAAGUGAGGUGUGAAAGCCCCGGGCUUAACCUGGGAAUUGCAUUUCAGACUGGGUAACUAGAGUACUUUAGGGAGGGGUAGAAUUCCACGUGUAGCGGUGAAAUGCGUAGAGAUGUGGAGGAAUACCGAAGGCGAAGGCAGCCCCUUGGGAAUGUACUGACGCUCAUGUGCGAAAGCGUGGGGAGCAAACAGGAUUAGAUACCCUGGUAGUCCACGCUGUAAACGCUGUCGAUUUGGGGGUUGGGGUUUAGCUCUGGCGCCCGUAGCUAACGUGAUAAAUCGACCGCCUGGGGAGUACGGCCGCAAGGUUA
rnacentral:rRNA from 1 species